AAUGUUUUGUUCUAGAUGUUUUUAUAUUUUUACUUUAAUUACUUUUGUUUUGCAAUAUAUUGUAUGUUUUCUGUGAAUCUCAAAAAGAAUGAAUUGCUUAUCUAUGUUGUUGGAUUUGUAAAAAUAUUUGUAAUUCUGAUUUCUUGUGACAAAAAAUCAUUUUUCAACCUUUCUAUGCUACUAACCAUAUUGUGUUUUCUUGAUUGUAGUUAUUGUGUGCAAAAUACUCUUACGUUUAUCAAAAUUAUUUUUUUCAUCAGUUUUUUUUUUUGUGUUUUAUGUUUUUGUAAGUAUUUUAAACAAUAUACUGUAACCAUGUUUGUUGAAAUUUUUUAUUUUAAUUUUGCAGUCUUAAGGAAAAUUCAUCACUGUCCUUAUUGCAACUACUCUUCUAUUCGAACAACAGAUAUAUACAGGCAUGUCAGAGUUCAUACUGGGGAAAAACCUUUUCAAUGUUCCAUGUGUAGCAAGUGUUUUUCCCUAAAAUCUUCUUUGAAAAAACAUAGAAUUACUCAUUUACCAAAACCUCAUGUUGUGUAACCAUUCAAAUUUUAAUUAUUUCAAGGAUGGCAUCUUUUAUUCGUAGUUGAAACAAUAUUUGUGAAACGUAAAAUUCAUCAUUGUCCAUAUUGCAACUACUCAUCUUUUCGUACUACAGAUAUUUACAGACAUGUCAGAACUCACACUGGGGAAAAACCCUUUCAGUGUUCUGAGUGUAAAAAGUGUUUCCCCCGAAAGUCUACUUUAAAAAAUCAUAUGUUUACUCAUUUGAAAAAUUACCAUACAUGAUCAUUUAUAGUUUAUGUCAAUGUUUGUUACUUUAAAUGAUUCUAAUAAUUUGUAACUGGCAUUUUAAGGGCUAUUCAAAUACUACUUAAGCAUAUUUUUGGUGAUUUCAGAAUCAGCAAAUAAUAAGCAAAUUACUAAUUACUAGCUUACAUCUCAUUUACUUUCGUAAGCAUUGUUUUUAAAAAUUAUUUUUUUUUCCAAAUAAAUUUAUAGUUAUUUUUGGAGUUUAGGUGGCAUUCUUUUUAGAUAAAGAGAAUGAUUUAAGUAGAUUAUGACAUUGCUCUUAAUCCUGCUUGUUAAGAUGUUAAAUUUAAAUACCUAAGAAUAAGGACAUUUUCAACUUGCUUCUUGCUGUCAGAUGCUUACAUAAUAUCUGAAUAUCUCUUUAAAAAUGUGAACACAUCUGAAAUCCUGAAUAAAAAUCUUUUAAGAUA